rnacentral:rRNA from 1 species
UAGGGAAUCUUCCACAAUGGACGCAAGUCUGAUGGAGCAACGCCGCGUGAGUGAAGAAGGCUUUCGGGUCGUAAAACUCUGUUAUUGAAGAAGAACGUGUGUGACAGUAACUGGUCAUGCAGUGACGGUAUUCAAUCAGAAAGUCACGGCUAACUACGUGCCAGCAGCCGCGGUAAUACGUAGGUGGCAAGCGUUGUCCGGAUUUAUUGGGCGUAAAGCGAGUGCAGGCGGUCUUUUAAGUCUGAUGUGAAAGCCUUCGGCUUAACCGAAGAAGGGCAUCGGAAACUGGGAGACUUGAGUGCAGAAGAGGAGAGUGGAACUCCAUGUGUAGCGGUGAAAUGCGUAGAUAUAUGGAAGAACACCAGUGGCGAAGGCGGCUCUCUGGUCUGUAACUGACGCUGAGGCUCGAAAGCGUGGGUAGCAAAACAGGAUUAGAUACCCU